GGACUACCGGGGUUUCUAAUCCUGUUUGCUCCCCACGCUGUCGCGCCUCAGUGUCAGCAACUGCCCAGCAGGCCGCCUUCGCCACCGGUGUUCUUCCGGAUCUCUACGCAUUCCACCGCUACACCCGGAAUUCCGCCUGCCUCUACAGUGCUCCAGCCGCGGCAGUAUUCAUGGCCGACGCAGGGUUGAGCCCCGCGCUUUCACCACGAACUGACCGGGCCACCUACGCGCCCUUUACGCCCAAUGAUUCCGGACAACGCUCGCACCCUCCGUAUUACCGCGGCUGCUGGCAC
rnacentral:rRNA from 1 species